GAUGAAGAACGUAGCGAAAUGCGAUAAGUAAUGCGAAUUGCAGAAUUCAGUGAGUCAUCGAAUCUUUGAACGCACAUUGCGCCCUUUGGUAUUCCGAAGGGCAUGCCUGUUCGAGCGUCAUUAUCACCCCUCAAGCCCUCGGCUUGGUGUUGGACGGUUUGGUGGAGGCCCCCUCGGGGGCUCCUGCCCCUCCCAAAGACAAUGACGGCGGCCUCGUUGGACCCCCGGUACACUGAGUUCUUCACGGGACACGUAUCGGACACAUGGGUUUACGGGACACGGUCUGCCUCCCCUCAGGGAGAAUCUUUCUAAGGUUGACCUCGGAUCAGGUAGGGAUACCCGCUGAACUUAAGCAUAUCAAUAAGCGGAGGA
rnacentral:misc_RNA from 1 species